rnacentral:rRNA from 1 species
CAGCAGCCGCGGUAAUACGUAGGGUGCGAGCGUUAAUCGGAAUUACUGGGCGUAAAGCGUGCGCAGGCGGUUCGUUAAGACAGAUGUGAAAUCCCCGGGCUUAACCUGGGAACUGCAUUUGUGACUGGCGAGCUAGAGUAUGGCAGAGGGGGGUAGAAUUCCACGUGUAGCAGUGAAAUGCGUAGAGAUGUGGAGGAAUACCGAUGGCGAAGGCAGCCCCCUGGGCCAAUACUGACGCUCAUGCACGAAAGCGUGGGGAGCAAACAGGAUUAGAUACCCGUGUAGUCCCUGUCUCUUAUAA